rnacentral:rRNA from 1 species
ACCGACAGCAAUAUGAAGGCCAGGCUGGAGACUUUGCCGGAUUAGCUGAGAGGUGGUGCAUGGCCGUCGUCAGUUCGUACUGUGAAGCAUCCUGUUAAGUCAGGCAACGAGCGAGACCCACGCCCACAGUUGCCAGCGUACUCUCUGGAGUGACGGGUACACUGUGGGGACCGCCGCUGCUAAAGCGGAGGAAGGAAUGGGCAACGGUAGGUCAGUAUGCCCCGAAUAUCCCGGGCUACACGCGAGCUACAAUGGUUGGUACAAUGGGUAUCUACCCCGAAAGGGGACGGGAAUCUCCUAAAACCAAUCUUAGUUCGGAUUGAGGGCUGCAACUCGCCCUCAUGAAGCUGGAAUCCGUAGUAAUCGUGUCUCAAAAUGGCACGGUGAAUAUGUCCCUGCUCCUU